rnacentral:tRNA from 1 species
GGAGAGGUGGGUGAGUCUGGCUGAAACCAACGGUUUGCUAAACCGUCGUAGGGUAAAACCUACCGCGGGUUCAAAUCCCGCCCUCUCCGCCA